rfam:Schistosoma rodhaini strain Burundi genome assembly, scaffold: SROB_scaffold0024800
GUCCAAGUACACACCUUAAAACGGUGAAGCUGUGAAUGGCUCAUUAAACCAGCUAUGGUCCUUUAGAUCGUAAACGUUAUAUAGAUAACUGCAGUAAUUCUAGAGCUAAUACAUGCCUUGAAACUCUGAUCUACAAGGGUACUAGUGAAUUUAUUAGAACAGAACCAACUGAACGAGGCUCUGACUGUGCUCAUUACAUUAUGUGAUAACUGAAUGACUUAAGUGAUCGUAUUCGGCCUUGUGUCGGUGACGGAACUUUCACAGAUCUUGGUCAAUAUGCAUUUCGUAAUGUUGAAACUAAAUAUUUUAGAAUUACGAA